AGAGUUUGAUCCUGGCUCAGAUUGAACGCUGGCGGAAUGCUUUACACAUGCAAGUCGAGCGGCAGCGCGGGGCAACCUGGCGGCGAGCGGCGAACGGGUGAGUAAUACAUCGGAACGUGCCCAGACGUGGGGGAUAACUACUCGAAAGAGUAGCUAAUACCGCAUACGAUCUAAGGAUGAAAGCGGGGGAUCGCAAGACCUCGCGCGUUUGGAGCGGCCGAUGGCAGAUUAGGUAGUUGGUGGGGUAAAGGCUUACCAAGCCUGCGAUCUGUAGCUGGUCUGAGAGGACGACCAGCCACACUGGGACUGAGACACGGCCCAGACUCCUACGGGAGGCAGCAGUGGGGAAUUUUGGACAAUGGGCGAAAGCCUGAUCCAGCCAUUCCGCGUGCAGGAUGAAGGCCCUCGGGUUGUAAACUGCUUUUGUACAGAACGAAAAAGCUCUGGUUAAUACCUGGAGUCCAUGACGGUACUGUAAGAAUAAGCACCGGCUAACUACGUGCCAGCAGCCGCGGUAAUACGUAGGGUGCAAGCGUUAAUCGGAAUUACUGGGCGUAAAGCGUGCGCAGGCGGUGAUGUAAGACAGUUGUGAAAUCCCCGGGCUCAACCUGGGAACUGCAUCUGUGACUGCAUCGCUGGAGUGCGGCAGAGGGGGAUGGAAUUCCGCGUGUAGCAGUGAAAUGCGUAGAUAUGCGGAGGAACACCGAUGGCGAAGGCAAUCCCCUGGGCCUGCACUGACGCUCAUGCACGAAAGCGUGGGGAGCAAACAGGAUUAGAUACCCUGGUAGUCCACGCCCUAAACGAUGUCAACUGGUUGUUGGGUUUUUAUUAACUCAGUAACGAAGCUAACGCGUGAAGUUGACCGCCUGGGGAGUACGGCCGCAAGGUUGAAACUCAAAUGAAUUGACGG
rnacentral:rRNA from 1 species